CCCAAUUUCAUGUGUACUCUCUCCGCCGUAGCCCCGACACGCUGUUACGAUCUCGUAUAGUUUUUUACCCCCAGUUUUGUUAUAAUUUUGAUCUUUAAUUUUGAUCGAUUCUCUUCUCUGAAUCUUCGAUCAUCUCCUGUUUCUCUUUUCUCUCUCAAUAAGGAGUGUGAUGAGAUGGUAUUGUCGCCCCAGGCUUACCAUCCGCUCGAUUUUGCGGCGGAUUAUGGUGAUCGACAUAUGGGAGAAGUGAUGAUUCUUAAUCCAUACCACGUCUUCUGCACUUUUGGGUGAUGAGAUAAAUCGAAACAUGCACUGCCAUCUGAUCUCCCUUUUUAUUUCUGGUUAUUUU